rnacentral:rRNA from 1 species
GAUGAACGCUAGCUACAGGCUUAACACAUGCAAGUCGAGGGGUAACGAGAGGAAAGCUUGCUUUCCUUGUCGACGACCGGCGCACGGGUGAGUAACGCGUAUCCAACCUGCCCCCAACUAAGGAAUAACCUUGCGAAAGUAAGACUAAUACCUUAUAAUUUCCUCAGAUGUCAUCUGACGAGGAAUAAAGAUUUAUCGGUUGUGGAUGGGGAUGCGUCUGAUUAGCUUGUUGGCGGGGUAACGGCCCACCAAGGCAACGAUCAGUAGGGGUUUUGAGAGGAAGGUCCCCCACAUUGGAACUGGGACACGGUCAAAACCCCUAGGGGAGGCAGCAGUGAGGAAUAUUGGUCAAUGGGCGGAAGCCUGAACCAGCCAAGUAGCGUGCAGGAUGACGGCCCUAUGGGUUGUAAACUGCUUUUAUACAGGAAUAAAGUUAGCCACGUGUGGUUAUUUGUAGGUACUGUAUGAAUAAGGACCGGCUAAUUCCGUGCCAGCCGCCGCCGUAAUAC